AAAGGGAUGGGGCACAGAGUGAGUAGCGCAGAGUGAGUGGCGCAGAGUUCCAAAGGGAUGGGGCACAGAGUGAGUGGCGCAGAGUUCCAAAGGGAUGGGGCACAGAGUGAGUGGCGCAGAGUUCCAAAGGGAUGGGGCGCAGAGUUCCAAAGGGAUGGGGCACAGAGUGAGUGGCGCAGAGUUCCAAAGGGAUGGGGCGCAGAGUUCCAAAGGGAUGGGGCGCAGAGUUCCAAAGGGAUGGGGCGCAGAGUGAGUGGCACAAGUGAGUGAAUCUCGCCAAGAAAAAAAGAAAUAGAAAUACUUAAUUUGAUUCCCAGGGAAACCCCAAAAAUUGCAGAGCGCAGUAAGUAGACUCUCCCCUCUCUCCUCCCUUUGGGCCAUGCAUUAUUAGAGCAUAGUAUGAUGGGAGCCAGGACAUGGACAAUCU